AAGAUUUUAAUGAUCGAACAGAUCAAAAUUUUAAACUUUUGCAUUUAAAUUUUAUCUUAAUCCAACAUCGAGGUCGCAAACUUUUUUUCUUAUAAGAACUAAAAAAAAAAAUUACG
rnacentral:rRNA from 1 species